AUUGAACGCUGGCGGCAUGCCUUACACAUGCAAGUCGAACGGUAGCGCGGGUUCCGGUCUGGCCGCGUGUGGCAAGGGGGUGUAAUACGCAUCGAAGCGCGCGCAGGAGGGGGGGAAAGCGCGGCGAGCGUUGGUAUAAUAGCAUACGAGAUCCGGGGGUGAGAGCGGGGGCGCGAAAGGUCUCGCGGUAUUGGCGGGGGCGAUGUCGGAUUAGCUAGUUGGUGGGGUAAAGGCUUACCAAGGCGACGAUCCGUAGCUGGUCUGAGAGGACGACCAGCCACACUGGGACUGAGACACGGCCCAGACUCCUACGGGAGGCAGCAGUGGGGAAUUUUGGACAAUGGGGGCAAGCCUGAUCCAGCCAUGCCGCGUGCAGGAAGAAGGCCUUCGGGUUGUAAACCGCUUUUGUACGGAAAGAAAUGCUCUCUGCUAAUACAGCGGGGUGAUGACGGUACCGGAAGAAUAAGCACCGGCUAACUACGUG
rnacentral:rRNA from 1 species